GACGAACGCUGGCGGCGUGCUUAACACAUGCAAGUCGAACGGAAAGGCCCUGCUUUUGUGGGGUGCUCGAGUGGCGAACGGGGGAGUAACACGUGAGUAACCUGCCCUUGACUUUGGGAUAACUUCAGGAAACUGGGGCUAAUACCGGAUAGGAGCUCCUGCUGCAUGGUGGGGGUUGGAAAGUUUCGGCGGUUGGGGAUGGACUGGCGGCUUAUCAGCUUGUUGGUGGGGUAGUGGCUUACCAAGGCUUUGACGGGUAGCCGGCCUGAGAGGGUGACCGGCCUCAUUGGGACUGCGAUACGGCCCAGACUCCUACGGGAGGCAGCAGUGGGGAAUAUUGCACAAUGGGCGGAAGCCUGAUGCAGCAACGCCGCGUGCGGGAUGACGGCCUUCGGGUUGUAAACCGCUUUCGCCUGUGACGAAGCGUGAGUGACGGUAAUGGGUAAAGAAGCACCGGCUAACUACGUG
rnacentral:rRNA from 1 species